AUUGAACGCUGGCGGCAUGCCUUACACAUGCAAGUCGAACGGCAGCACGGGAGCAAUCCUGGUGGCGAGUGGCGAACGGGUGAGUAAUAUAUCGGAACGUGCCCAGUCGUGGGGAUAACGUAGCGAAAGCUACGCUAAUACCGCAUACGAUCUAUGGAUGAAAGCGGGGGAUCGCAAGACCUCGCGCGAUUGGAGCGGCCGAUAUCAGAUUAGGUAGUUGGUGAGGUAAAGGCUCACCAAGCCGACGAUCUGUAGCUGGUCUGAGAGGACGACCAGCCACACUGGGACUGAGACACGGCCCAGACUCCUACGGAGGCAGCAGUGGGGAAUUUUUGGGACAAUGGGCGCAAGCCUGAUCCAGCAAUGCGCGUGCAGGAUGAAGG
rnacentral:rRNA from 1 species